GGAGAGACCCCAUGGCCCGCCGCGCCUUUGUGGGAGUGGAAGUCGUUUGGCAGGUGGUGACCGAGGCUUUAGGUUAGGAAGUCUGUGGAUGGGGCAGAAGACACUGGUCGUUGUCCGUAUUGGGCCAGUCAAGGGAGAGGUCAAUGUUCAACCCAAAAGAAUGACGCAAGAAUGCCAAAGUAUCAGGCAUUAUUUUCAUUCCUGGAGCCUUGUUACUACGAGUCCUAGACGGAUUCUCCGUUACAAAUGAACCAGGAGAGCUUAAAAGCAGACAAACCAACCAACCAAACAAGCAAAAUUAGCCAAGAAAGAACAAUUUGCAACGUUCUACUACUGUCUGGAGAACAGAGUCCGCUUGUCAAGAAAGCUAAGAACGCCAACACACGGGGACAGUAGACUGCAGAUUUCUCACAGCUUGUGUCCUACAGUGUAACUUCACAAGAGGGAAGGAGGGAGUAACCUGCACCCCGUGGCCAGCUCAGGAUGGAGGCUGCACAGGCACAGAGGAAGAGGGAGCCAUACUGCCAGACACACCUGGUGGGCAGAGAAGGUUCUUCUCCAGCCUUGGCCUGCAUCUCCCUCCUACCUUCUUGGCCGCACCCCCAGCCUCUCAAGCUCCUUCAGCAGACAAAGCCUUCAGCUCAUUAGCUUUUAUGCUGGAGAGGGUUGAGGGUGGGGCAAGAACCAGGAGCAAGUAAACUAAGGGGAGGGGAGAGAAUAGUAGUCCUUGAGUUUUUGUGAAUGACACCUUCACUGUAAACAAUAGGAAGGAGAGUCAACCAGGCAGCCCCAAGGGUAAGCAGUGGAGGACCAGUGGCUCUGGGACCUGCUCAGAGCCUCAGGCAGGUAGGGGCAGCCACUGACCCACUGGGCCCUGGCUGCCCGCACUGGCUCCUUCUGGGGGCAUCUGUUUUUCUUCUUUUUGGUUUGGAUCUCCACCCUCCCCCACAGAGGAGUCCCUUCCAAUGAGAAAUGGCAGGAGCUGCGGGUGCAAUCGAGUCAGAGUCCCCAGGGCCUGAGGACUCCUGGGAGGCACGGGUCACUUGUGGCGCUGAGCAGUCUUCUUCCUUUUCCUCUUAAAGAAGCAGCAGCACCUGGAGCACAAGGAAGACCACAAGUCAGUGCGGGAGGCCCGCAGCUGCCAACAGAUUUCUGCCUGCCUCUGCUUAUUGCAGGGGUGGAACUUCCCCCUGGCACCCACCCACAGGGUCGCCCGCCAUCUACAGUGCACAUACUGGAGGCAGUGGGCAGUGUCUGCCAGGAAAGCCAAAGGAGAGAGCUGCUUUAUUCCAAACCUAAUCGUCAAAGUGCUGCAGGCUAGGCAGCAGGGCGGAAGCAGGCAUUUUUGGAAGAAGGAUGUAGAAGGCUUAUUUCUCAGUCUAACACCCCAACCUGAAAGUCUCAUCCUCCUUUAUACUGAACCAAGGCUGGGGGUCCUCAGGGCUGCAUGAGAAGAGCCUGCACUGUGUGCCCCUUCAUACAGAGGGCAAAAUUAUUUAAUGCAACUUCGGAGGUCAGUGGGUAUGGAGGCUAAACUAAGGCAAACAAAUGCCAAGAAAAGUAUGAUGUUUGGAACUCUAGGAGGCUCUCACAUGCUACCAAUGAAAGGAUUAAGGGUUCUCUCUAAUCUCAUCCCUGCCCCCAGCCAGCUAGCUCCCUGGCGUAGGCAGGAGAAGCCCUGACCCUAAUUGUGUGAGCCAGGAUCUUUUAACUGAAAUCAGCAUAGCCUACUCUUCAUUUGGAGAGGAUCAAUGCCACAGUUGAUCACCAGGAAGCAUCGGGUUGCAGGGUCCUCCUCGACUUAAGCUUCCCGAGGCUGCUGCUGUGCCAGACUGGGUUCAAGGACUGACCCUGCUUAGGGUGGGGCUGAGGCCUGAUGCCUUCAACAGCCACAGCUCUGCCACAGCCUUUAGCUCGGGUACCUGCUCUGUACUGCUGUCUUUGGAACAGGAAGCCCCUCUUGCUCAGGCAGCGACUAUUCCAGAAGGGGGUGAUGAGGGCUGUGGCAUGGCUGGUGCAAAAGAUAUGUCCUUUCCAGGAAGCUGACACAUGGGAAAUGAGAAUGUGAGGGGCAGAAAGUGGUGGAUGAGUCAAAGAUGCCAUGUGAUGGAAGGGAGUAAACUGGAAGUGUCACUCAGACUUGCUGGAUCCUUGAAACGAAAGCUUUUCUCAGAAACUAUCUUUGGGUCUUUUGCCUAAUCCUUCUGGGUUUAAUGUCAAAAAUAUUCAUACAGAAAUAAAGAGCUGUUGCUUACUUCCGCAUACCCCUAAGUCCUCCACUGUAGCUAAGAUUCCCCCCUUUUUUAGUCAGACCCUUUUGUAUUCCCACACCCCAUGGACUAGUUAUCAAAAACUUGGAGAAAGUGUCUUCUUAGAAUGCAGAAAUAGAUGUUUACACAGACAAAAUGAUGGGCUUUAACCAUAACUGAAUGAAUUAAACAUGGAGAUGUUGGAAACAGGAGGUUCUUAAGAGAGUCUUAAAAAAGAUUUUCUAAGAGUAUAAUGACCUAUGUGAUGUACUAUUAAAUGGGUGUCAAUAUAGUCACUAAACAAAGUGUCCUUUGUAUUUAGAGGCUGAAUAAAUUCUUUUAAGUAAAAAUGACCAACACUUUUGAUUGUUUUCAGUCCUUAAGGGAAUCCCUGGGGAAGGAUUUUAAAAAAAGGUCAUUUUUUGUACAUAUGCUUUAGAAAACAGACAUUCUUUCAAGCUGAAUGUCCAGAAAUUAUUAAAUAAGGUGAAUUAAAUCUCAUGGGAGUACCAGUACUUCAAUAGAGCUAGCUACCUGUUCCCUGUUAACCAUGAUUUUCAGAGGGAUCACUAACAUUUAAGUCAGUUUUUAUUCUUAUGCUUUUUGGAGGAUGCUAAGAUGAUGAUUUUGUGUUUUUACGUUAAGAACAAUCAUUAAAAAGUUUGAAAUACUG